rnacentral:tRNA from 5 species
GGGGCCGUAGCUCAGUUGGGAGAGCGCUUGAAUGGCAUUCAAGAGGUCAGGGGUUCGACUCCCCUCGGCUCCACCA